rnacentral:rRNA from 1 species
UAAGCGUACACGGUGGAUGCCUAGGCAAUCAGAGGCGAUGAAGGACGUGCUAAUCUGCGAUAAGCGUCGGUAAGGUGAUAUGAACCGUUAUACCCGACGAUUUCCGAAUGGGGAAACCCAGUGCAAUCCGUUGCACUAUCGUUUGAUGAAUACAUAGUCAAACGAAGCGAACCGGGGGAACUGAAACAUCUCAGUACCCCGAGGAAAAGAAAUCAACCGAGAUUCCCCUAGUAGCGGCGAGCGAACGGGGAGCAGCCCAGAGUCUUAAUCAGCAUUAGUAUCAGGA